rnacentral:misc_RNA from 1 species
AACGCACGAGACCUGCGGACCUGCGGAGGGAUCAUUGCCACACACGAUCCAAGAUCGACACUUUUUGUGAACUGUACUUUUUCUGGAAUUUUGAAGUGUUUAGAUCUCCUCACGGAGGUUUAAUGUCAUUUUUCAGGAAACUUUUUUAACACCAACUUAAACAAACAUGAUUUAUACAUUGGAACAUAAAUGUUAUAACGAGUUCGUCUCAUUAUAACGCUAGAUUAUUAAUUGAUAAAC